UCCCAAUGAUCUGAUUUCACCUUCUGCCU
rnacentral:piRNA from 1 species